rnacentral:tRNA from 1 species
GGAGAGGUGGCCGAGUGGUCGAAGGCGCUCCCCUGCUAAGGGAGUAGCCCAGUGAUGGGCUCGAGGGUUCGAAUCCCUUCCUCUCCUCCA